CAUGGAGGGUGAGAAUCCCGUUCGGUUGACCUUAUGACGUUUUACGAUACGCUUUCAAAGAGUCGAGUUGUUUGGGAUUGCAGCUCAAAAUGGGAGGUAAAUUUCUCCUAAGGCUAAAUAUUGGCGAGAGACCGAUAGCGAACAAGUACCGUGAGGGAAAGAUGAAAAGAACUUUGAAAAGAGAGUAAAAUAGUACGUGAAAUUGUUGAAAGGGAAACGAUUGAAGUCAGUCGUACCGACGAGAAAUCAACUCUUCGAGUGCGGGCUUGUGGGCAUGCGGGUGUCUCGUUGUUUGCAACGUCUGUGCUUUUUGGGUGUACUUUUUCGUAUGGUAGGCCAACAUCAGUUUCGAUUAUCAUAAAAUGGCCGGAGGAAUGUAGCUUCGAUUUCGGUUGAAGUGUUAUAGCCUUUGGUAGAUGUGGUGAUGGAGACUGAGGAUUGCAACGAAUACCCUUCGGGCUAUCCGUCUGACCUCUGAAAGUUGCUUAGGUGCCGAAAGCGUGCUUACGGUCAUUUAACGCGACGGUCAAAAGGUUAGAACGUGAUUACAUUCGUUAAGGAUGUUGACGUAAUGG
rnacentral:rRNA from 1 species